UCCGUUUUAUCAACGGCAGUCUCAGUAGAGUGCCCGGCCGAACCGCUGGCAACUACUGACAAGGGUUGCGCUCGUUGCGGGACUUAACCCAACAUCUCACGACACGAGCUGACGACAGCCAUGCACCACCUGUGACGGUCCAGCCGAACUGACACCUUGUUUCCAAGGUUAUGACCGACAUGUCAAGCCCAGGUAAGGUUCUUCGCGUUGCGUCGAAUUAAGCCACAUGCUCCGCCGCUUGUGCGGGUCCCCGUCAAUUCCUUUGAGUUUUAGCCUUGCGGCCGUACUCCCCAGGCGGAGUGCUUAAUGCGUUAGCUGCGGCACGGAGAGGGUUGAAGACCUCCCCACACCUAGCACUCAACGUUUACGGCUGGGACUAC
rnacentral:misc_RNA from 1 species